CAAAAAAGAAAAUGAACAUCCUUUUUGCCCUUUUGCUCACUCUCUUUUUCUCUUGCCUUUCUCUUUAUCCUUCUUUUGCUUCUUCCAACAUAUCCCGGCUCUUUGAAGCAUACAACAUGGCAAGACUUAUGCUUCUCAACAGGAUAAGCUCUAUAGACUCAGGGUUUUCCAGGACAACUAUGAGUUUGUUACAACACAUAAUAACCAGGGCAAUUCUUCUUACACCCUUUCUCUUAAUGGCUUUGCUGAUCUCACUCAUCACGAGUUCAAGGCUUCUCGUUUGGGUCUCUCUGCUGC
rnacentral:misc_RNA from 1 species